rnacentral:rRNA from 1 species
AUUGAACGCUGGCGACAGGCUUAACACAUGCAAGUCGAGCGGAGAUGAGGUGCUUGCACCUUAUCUUAGCGGCGGACGGGUGAGUAAUGCUUAGGAAUCUGCCAUUUAGUGGGGGACAACAUUCCGAAAGGAAUGCUAAUACCGCAUACGUCCUACGGGAGAAAGCAGGGGAUCUUCGGACCUUGCGCUAAAUGAUGAACCUAAGUCGGAUUAGCUAGUUGGUGGGGUAAAGGCCUACCAAGGCGACGAUCUGUAGCGGGUCUGAGAGGAUGAUCCGCCACACUGGGACUGAGACACGGCCCAGACUCCUACGGGAGGCAGCAGUGGGGAAUAUUGGACAACGGGCGGAAGCCUGAUCCAGCCAUGCCGCGUGUGUGAAGAAGGCCUUUUGGUUGUAAAGCACUUUAAGCGAGGAGGAGGCUACUAGUACUAAUACUACUGGAUAGUGGACGUUACUCGCAGAAUAAGCACCGGCUAACUCUGUGCCAGCCGCCGCGGUAA